UCCACAUGAUCGGAUUCGUGUACUACAGAAGCACCCGUCGCACUUGCCUGGUGACUAGGGAUGGAAGAGGAUUGGAGGGGUGGGAUGGUCGUUCUCUCCGCGAAAUCGCUGCCCUUGGGCUUCCGGUUCCGUCCGACGGACGUGGAGCUGGUGAACCACUACCUCAAGGGCAAAAUUAGCGGCAGGAUCAAGUCGGAGGUCGAGGUCAUCCCCGAGAUAGAUGUCUGCAAAUACGAGCCGUGUGAUCUUCCCGAUAAAUCAUUGACCAAAUCAGUCGAUUCGGAGUGGUUCUUCUUCGCACCGAAGGACAAGAAGUAUCCGAACAGCAAUCGUUCCAACCGGGCUACUGAGGCUGGGUAUUGGAAACCCACGGGGAAGGAUCGGAUGAUCAAGUCCGGGUCAGCUUGUCCUGCAAUUAUAGGCAUGAAGAAGACCCUUGUCUUCCACCUUGGCCGUGCUCCCAAGGGCGUUCGCACUAACUGGAUCAUGCACGAGUAUCGCACACUUGAGUCUGAGUCUGUCUCUGGUGAGCAGGGUGGCUUUGUUCUCUGUCGUUUAUUCAGGAAGCCUGAAGAGAAGACCCCAAUUUUUGAUAAUGAUGAUUUCACCCAAAGAAAUGUUGAUGAGAUGGAGAGUAGUGGCUUGUUUGCACCAGCAACACCUUCACCAGGAGAGACACUACAUGGAGUAGAGGCUACAGAGGAAGUUGUGACACCAUUGAACCAAAAAAAUUUGGGAUCUGAUUUGCAAGAGAUUUUACAGCCUUUGCCUCUGAAAACUAAUGUGCAACCAUCAGGUGUUAAUGGGCUGGCAGCAGAUAAGACUGAUAUCACGAGAAGCUAUCCUUUGAAGCCAGAAGAGUCUCAUUGCAAUGACACUAUUGUUUCGGAUGCCGCUAAUCAUGGAACUGUUUUGGGAUCUGAGGAGCUUAGUCAAUUUGACAACAUUGGACAGGAUUCUGUCACUGAGUUUUUAAAUGCAAUGCUUUGUGAUCCAGAGGAAUGUUCCCCUGAGGUAUCAAAUGCCCCAAGAGGUUUCCUAACUGAGUUUGAACCAGAUAAUCAGAUCUGUGUGACCAGGAAUGAUUCCCCCUGGGAUUCACCACUCUGAUAAAGAACCUGAAGCUACUGUUUUUUAGGUACCUUAGAGGAACAUGGUGUUUUCUGGAGGAACCAACAGUCUGCCCAUUUGUUCAAGCAAUUCUUUGCGGAAGAACAGUUAUAUUGUUCCUACGAGACAAGACAUGAGUCAGUUUUCUGUGUUUCCCAAUCAGAAUUCGAGCCUAAAAUGUUUGCUCAAUGGUCUCUGCUGCAACGAAUCAAGAAAAAACCAAUAUGGGUAACUCUGACACAGCUGGAAUCCAUAUCGGAGCUUGCAAGAAUUUGUCAGGCUCUGAUAACUUGAUUGAACAGCCAGGCUUGUCAAGGAACCCGUUACGUUUGCAAAAGCUCAUUCACGAUGGCUCUGUCCCCAGAACUGAUCAUGCAGUAAGCAGUACGAUUGAUGAUAUGGUCAAAACAGUGGUCCCUGACUGAGGUUUGAAGCUUUCUUUGGUUAUUUUCAGAAAUGAUAACAUUGACCUAAUGUUGAAUCUUAAGUCAAUAUUAUAACAAUUGUUGUUGUUGAUCAUAUUGGCCUAAUGAAAUGUUUAAUCUGAAGUGGCUAACCUUGAAAAGUGUCUACAGGUUAGAAAACAUUCAUUCGGAGCACCAAUUUGAUGAAAAAAAAUCAGCUUCUGAUCUUACUGCCAAUAUCAGUACUGAGGACAUCCCUUCUCGUGAUAAUACGAAUUCUACUGAGAUAAGGUCCUCUUCUCCUGAGAUCUAAGAUUCCAAACCCGAGUUGAUGUUGAGAACAAGAUGGAGACAUAAGAAUGAGGAUAAAAUCAGCAGCCAGUCUACUGAUGCAAUGGCAAUUAGAGCUAGACAUACUCGACUAUUACAAUCACAUUGAUUCUAUCAGCAGUACUAAUUUUAUUAUUCCUUGGAUUACAAUCAGGUGCCUGAGCUCCUGAGAACAGAAUCAACUCUUGGUCUUUGCAAAAUUUUCAGUCUUGGAACAUGUAAAGUUUACAGCUCCGCAACAGAGCGUUCAGCAGCCCAUCCAGGGAGCUACUUUGAAGCUAUUUCUGGCUGUGAAGGAUGAAGGUUUCUGACCAAAUUAAAAGAAGCAGAGACUCUGUAGAGACACAUCAGAGGUGGCUUCUUGGUACUGAUGUCGAAGCACUCGACUCUCCGAGGUGUGCUGUACUACACAGUAGUUAAUAAUUCUGCAUGGGUUUACUUUAACCACCUGCACUGCACACUACCUUAUGGUGAUGGCACAUUUGAUGGUUGUAUCAUCUUGUACCAUGGUGUUGUAUAGGUCAGAAACAGGCAGAUCUUUGUUUUUUUUUAGUCCGGCCCAUAGGUGGGAUUGUACCGGACAAUAAGGACAUUGAGCUUAAAUCUAAUCAAUUAUUAAAA